UGUCUUCUCUGGUGCGAACUGACUCUGAUGUCAAAACACUGUACAAGUCAGCAUUCAUGAUUCUAGAGUUAAAAACUGGGCAGCUGUAGAGAUCCAUUUCAAGUGUGAAAUUGUCUUCUUCACUGAGACAGCAAUAAAGAGGGAAGAAGGAAAGCCAAAGAGGGCAGGACCUGGUCAGACCUCCAGUCAAACGUGGAAGUGUCUGGGCAAAGACCAGCAAGGUGUAAAACAUACGGAUAUUUGUUCAGCACAUUACUAUUCCUUGAUGCUUUGAGGCCGUAUUUAAAGUUGUAUUUUCCAUGAAACGUUGUAGAAUUUGGCAAUAUAGUCAAUAUUUUAUAAGUGUACAUUUAGUUUUGAUCAAUUUCAUUUUUUAUUAUGAGGAAUGUCUGGAUUGGUCCACCCUGGAGGUCAGGAGCAUUGUUUGUUUGACUCGGAGUAUGUGUGCCGCACCACACAAACACAUUUGUCGACCUGCCCCCACUGUUAACUUCCCCACAGUCACACCAAACACCAAUUUCACCCCUGUUCCCACCGCCACUUUACCAGCAGCACCACCGCCAGCAGCACACGGCUCAUUCACAGAGAUGCUGCAGAACUGGCAGCCGAUGGACGAUAUGCCAUGUGAGUGUAUUCUUCUGCUUUCUGACUGACUUUCUUUUGUAUGUAUUAAUUUUAUAAAACAUUUUUCCUCACUUCCCUUAACACAGUGUUCUCUUGUAGCGCUGCCAGGCUGUCAGACUUUAUGAGGGGACCCCCAGCAAUCAUCAGAACCAGGCAGGGCCAACCGUGAUUUCCACCCAGCCAUCUUACUGGAAUUUGUCCAUGCUGAGGGACGUGUUGACUAAAUUAGAGAUGGUGCUGGACCAACAAUCCACUGAGCUUGUGAACACUCGUGAACAACUAUCACAAAACAUAAACACAUCAUGUCGUUGAUCAUCCAGGUAACGACACACAGGAUUACGAAUGAAGAGUAUGUAAACUUUUGAACGGGGUCAGUUUUAUAAAUUCAGCUAUUCUCUUGUGGACUAUAUGUAAACAUCUGUUAUGUGAAAUAGCUUAUUCAGGACAGGACUAAAUAAACAACAUGGGAUUUUUAUAAUCCUUCUUAUUUUGGUAAAAGUAUUAAGAUUUAGCAGAUUCUGCCACGGGUUAUGCGAACUUCCGACCGCAACUGUAUGUUCUCUGUCUUUUCUUUACAAAAUGUAAAUCUAUUUAUUUGACUUAUUUUGUUAUUUGUUAAUAAAUAUUCAUAUUGUAUGAAUUCAUAUGGUCCAUAUUGUGUUUUUUAAUUGUUUAUAAAAGUCCUUGAUGUUUUUAAGCGGUUGAAUUUAUGUGUGUGUGAGAUUUUUUUUUUGUC